UACCAAUCAGGGGACACGGAGGGUGAGUCUCUGGGGCCUGAUUGGUGCGGAAAGGGAAUUCCAGGCCCUCCAGUCAUCUUUUAUCCUUUCAAAACCCCCGGGCUAAAUCAUUACCAGCUAGCCCAUCACACCACCUUUGCCUU